CUGCACCAGGCUCAGGUGUGAUACACUACCUGCUGGAGCUGAAUGCUCUGAAACUUUAAGGAGACUGGGCAGACCUGAGAAUAGAAUUAAGGAACGGGAAGACAGAGCUGUGGAAUCACACAGAAAACAGACUGGCAAGAGGAGAGAGAAGCACAAAGAAGUUAAAUGGAAAGAAAAGCAGAUGGAGGAGAUGGAUUCACACACCUAGCUGGAGUUCCGACAGGAAUGAGUAAUGAGAAUUGGGCAAAAAAAAAAAAAUCAAAAAUAUAAUAACUGAAAAAAUUUUUAUUGAAAAAAUAUGUGAAUUUUCAGAUUGAAAUACUGUCCUGAGUGCUGAGAAAAACAAAAACAGAUACAAAUAAAAUCUACAUUUAGACAGAGUGUUCUAAAAUUAAAAUGAACGUUAAAA